rfam:Triticum aestivum genome assembly, contig: Triticum_aestivum_CS42_TGACv1_scaffold_019387_1AS
CAGGUAUUCCCCCAUCCGAAAAAGUUUGUCCCAAGCUUGUUCCUCAAAUGGACGUAUCUAGCACUAACUUGGUGCUAGACACAUCCAUUUGAGGGACAAGCUUUUUCGGACGGAGGGAGUAGUUU